rnacentral:rRNA from 1 species
AAUCAACGCUGGCGGCGCGCUUAACACAUGCAAGUCGCACGAGAAAGGGAGCAAUCCUGAGUAAAGUGGCGCACGGGUGAGUAACACGUGGGUAUCUACCUUUUUGUGGGGAAUAACUUGGGGAAACCCGAGCUAAUACUGCAUAAGCUCGAGAGAGGAAAGCCGAAAGGCGCAGAAAGAGGAGCCCGCGGCUGAUUAGCUAGUUGGUGAGGUAAUGGCUCACCAAGGCUUAGAUCGGUAGCCGGCCUGAGAGGGCACACGGCCACACUGGCACUGAAACACGGGCCAGACUCCUACGGGAGGCAGCAGUGGGGAAUCUUGCACAAUGGAGGAAACUCUGAUGCAGCGACGCCGCGUGAACGAUGAAGCCCUUCGGGGUGUAAAGUUCUUUCGCCAGGAACGAUAAUGACGGUACCUGGAGAAGAAGCUGCGGCUAACUACGUGCCAGCAGCCGCGGUAAUACGUAGGCAGCAAGCGUUGUUCGGAAUUAUUGGGCGUAAAGAGUAUGUAGGUGGUGUCGUAGGUUUGGUGUGAAAUCUCCUGGCUUAACUGGGAGGGUGCGCCGAAGACUGCGAUGCUUGAGUAUGGGAGAGG